rnacentral:rRNA from 1 species
CAGUAGCCGCGGUAAUACCGAGGGUGCGAGCGUUAAUCGGAUUUACUGGGCGUAAAGCGUGCGUAGGCGGCUUUUUAAGUCGGAUGUGAAAUCCCUGAGCUUAACUUAGGAAUUGCAUUCGAUACUGGGAAGCUAGAGUAUGGGAGAGGAUGGUAGAAUUCCAGGUGUAGCGGUGAAAUGCGUAGAGAUCUGGAGGAAUACCGAUGGCGAAGGCAGCCAUCUGGCCUAAUACUGACGCUGAGGUACGAAAGCAUGGGGAGCAAACAGGAUUAGAGACCCGAGUAGUCCCUGUCUCUUAUAC